GAUGAACGCUGGCGGCGUGCCUAAUACAUGCAAGUCGAGCGAACAGACGAGGAGCUUGCUCCUCUGACGUUAGCGGCGGACGGGUGAGUAACACGUGGAUAACCUACCUAUAAGACUGGGAUAACUUCGGGAAACCGGAGCUAAUACCGGAUAACAUGUUGAACCGCAUGGUUCAACAGUGAAAGACGGUCUUGCUGUCACUUAUAGAUGGAUCCGCGCCGCAUUAGCUAGUUGGUAAGGUAACGGCUUACCAAGGCAACGAUGCGUAGCCGACCUGAGAGGGUGAUCGGCCACACUGGAACUGAGACACGGUCCAGACUCCUACGGGAGGCAGCAGUAGGGAAUCUUCCGCAAUGGGCGAAAGCCUGACGGAGCAACGCCGCGUGAGUGAAGAAGGUCUUCGGAUCGUAAAACUCUGUUAUUAGGGAAGAACAAAUGUGUAAGUAACUAUGCACGUCUUGACAGUACCUAAUCAGAAAGCCACGGCUAACUACGUG
rnacentral:rRNA from 1 species